rnacentral:rRNA from 1 species
UGGGGAAUAUUGCACAAUGGGCGAAAGCCUGAUGCAGCAACGCCGCGUGAAGGAUGAAGGCCUUUGGGUCGUAAACUUCUGUCCUUGGGGAAGAAGAAAAUGACGGUACCCCUGGAGGAAGUCCCGGCUAACUACGUGCCAGCAGCCGCGGUAAUACGUAGGCGGCGAGCGUUAUCCGGAAUUAUUGGGCGUAGAGAGUACGUAGGUGGUUUUUUAAGCGCAGGGUUUAAGGCGAUGGCUCAACUGUCGUUCGCCUUGUGAACUGGAAGACUUGAGUACAGGAGAGGAAAGCGGAAUUCCGAGUGUAGCGGUGAAAUGCAUAGAUAUUAGGAGGAACACCAGUGGCGAAGGCGGCUUUCUGGACUGUAACUGACACUGAGGUACGAAAGCGUGGGGAGCAAACA